rnacentral:rRNA from 1 species
UUCAAUCAUGAAACUUCCACAUUGAUAUGCUUAACAUAUGCAAGUCGGAUGAGAAAUAGUGUUUCCAAUGUCGGACGGUUGAAUAACGCAUAAGAACCUACCCUUGGGAGGGGAACAACAACUGAAAACAGUUGCUAAUACCCCGUAGGCUGAGGAGCAAAAGGAGGAAACCCCCCGAUGAGGGGUUCGCAUCUGAUUAGCUAGUUGGUGAGGCAAUAGCUUACCAUGGCGAUGAUCAAUAGCUGGUCCGAGAGGAUGAUCAGCCACACUGGGACUUAGACACGACCCAGACUCCUACGGGAGGCAGCAGUGAAGAAUUUUCCGCAAUGGGCGAAAGUCUGACGGAGCAAUGUCGUGUGAAGGUAGAAGGCCCGCAGGUCGUGAAAUUCUCUUCCCGGAGAAGAAGCAAUGACCGUAUCUUGCGAAUAAGCAUUGGCUAACUCUGUGCUAGCAGUUGCGGUAUUACAGAGGAUUUAAGCGUUAUCCGGAUUGAUUGAGCGUAAAGCAUCUGUAGGUGGCUUUUUAAGUCCGCCGUCAAAUCCAGGGCUCAAUCUUGGACAGGCGAUAGAAACUACCAAGCUAGAGUACGGUAGGUGCAGAGAGAUUUCCGGUGGAGCGGUGAAAUGUGUAGAGAUCGAAAAGAACACCAACAGUGAAAGCACUCUGCUGGGCCGACACUGACACUGAGAGACGAAAGCUAGGGGAGCAAAUGGGAUUAUAUACCCCAGUAGUCCUAGCUAUAAACAAUGGAUAAUAUGCGUUGUGCGUAUUGACCCGUACAGUGCUAUAGCUAACGCGUUAAGUAUCCCGCCUGGGGAGUAACUCAAAGGAAUUGACGGAGGCCCGCACAAGCGGUGGAUCAUGUGGUUUAAUUCGAUACAAAGCAAAGAACCUUACCAGGGCUUGACAUGCCACGAAUCCUCUUGAAAGAGAGGGGUGCCUUCGGGAACGCAGACACAGGUGGUGUAGGACUGUCGUCAGCUCGUACUGUGAGGUGUUGGGUUAAGUCCCAACGAGUGCAACCCUCGUGUUUAGUUGUCAUCGUUGAGUUUGGAAUCCUGAAUAGACUGCCGGUGAUAAACCAGAGGAAGGUGAGGAUGACGUCAAGUCAUCAUGCCCCUUAUGCCCUGGGCUAGACACGUGCUACAAUGACCAGGACAAACGCGAUCCCGCGAGGGUGAGCUAACCCCAAAUUUCGAAUUGCAGGCUGCAACUCGCCUGCAUGAAGACAGAGUCGCUAGUAAUCGUCGAUUAGUCAUACAUAAUUACCUAACAUUACUGACAGUACCUACCUAACAUUACUGACUAGUAGUUGAUUCCAUGCGACUUAGGUUUGCCAUAGAAAAUUACCUAACUUAAUAGGGAUCCCUUCCACUUCUAGUAGGUCUG